rnacentral:rRNA from 1 species
ACUCCUACGGGAGGCAGCAGUGGGGAAUAUUGCACAAUGGGCGCAAGCCUGAUGCAGCCAUGCCGCGUGUGUGAAGAAGGCCUUCGGGUUGUAAAGCACUUUCAGUCGUGAGGAAGGUGGUAGUGUUAAUAGCACUACCAUUUGACGUUAGCGACAGAAGAAGCACCGGCUAACUCCGUGCCAGCAGCCGCGGUAAUACGGAGGGUGCGAGCGUUAAUCGGAAUUACUGGGCGUAAAGCGCAUGCAGGUGGUUUGUUAAGUCAGAUGUGAAAGCCCGGGGCUCAACCUCGGAAUAGCAUUUGAAACUGGCAGACUAGAGUACUGUAGAGGGGGGUAGAAUUUCAGGUGUAGCGGUGAAAUGCGUAGAGAUCUGAAGGAAUACCGGUGGCGAAGGCGGCCCCCUGGACAGAUACUGACACUCAGAUGCGAAAGCGUGGGGAGCAAACAGGAUUAGAUACCCUGGUAGGAUAGCG